rnacentral:snoRNA from 1 species
UGCAGCCAUGUCAAAUUCAGUGCUCACCUGUGCUGUGGUGGGGGCUGGCCCAGCGGCUGCUACAAAAAACAUGUGGUUCAUGGGCUCCAGAUCUGUGCUGUUGGAUCUGGGGAUAAAAGCAUGCCGCAGACAAAU